rnacentral:rRNA from 1 species
UGGUGGGUAGUUUGACUGGGGCGGUCUCCUCCUAAAGAGUAACGGAGGAGCACGAAGGUUAGCUAAUCCUGGUCGGACAUCAGGAGGUUAGUGCAAAGGCAUAAGCUAGCUUGACUGCGAGAGUGACGGCUCGAGCAGGUGCGAAAGCAGGUCUUAGUGAUCCGGUGGUUCUGAAUGGAAGGGCCAUCGCUCAACGGAUAAAAGGUACUCCGGGGAUAACAGGCUGAUACCGCCCAAGAGUUCAUAUCGACGGCGGUGUUUGGCACCUCGAUGUCGGCUCAUCACAUCCUGGGGCUGAAGUAGGUCCCAAGGGUAUGGCUGUUCGCCAUUUAAAGUGGUACGCGAGCUGGGUUUAGAACGUCGUGAGACAGUUCGGUCCCUAUCUGCCGUGGGCGCUGGAGAAUUGAGGGGGGCUGCUCCUAGUACGAGAGGACCGGAGUGGACGCAUCACUGGUGUUCGGGUUGUCAUGCCAAUGGCAUUGCCCGGUAGCUAAAUGCGGAAGAGAUAAGUGCUGAAAGCAUCUAAGCACGAAACUUGCCCCGAGAUGAGUUCUCCCUGAGACUUUAAGUCUCCUGAAGGAACGUUGAAGACGACGACGUUGAUAGGUCGGAUGUGUAAGUGUAGCGAUACAUUGAGCUAACCGAUACUAAUGAACCGUGAGGCUUAACCUUACAACGCCGAAG